rnacentral:rRNA from 1 species
AGCAGCCGCGGUAAUUCCAGCUCCAAUAGCGUAUAUUAAAGUUGUUGCAGUUAAAAAGCUCGUAGUUGAAUUUCGGGAUCAAUUAAUUGGUCGUGCCUCUGGUACGUACUGAUUUUAUUGGUUUCUCCCUUCUGACGAACCAUGAUGUCAUUAAUUUGGUGUCGUGGAGAAUCAGGACUGUUACUUUGAAAAAAUUAGAGUGUUUAAAGCAAGCUAACGCUUGAAUACAUUAGCAUGGAAUAAUGAAAUAGGACGUUUGAUCCUAUUUUGUUGGUUUCUAGGAUCGACGUAAUGAUUAAUAGGGAUAGUUGGGGGCAUUAGUAUUCAAUUGUCAGAGGUGAAAUUCUUGGAUUUAUUGAAGACUAACUACUGCGAAAGCAUUUGCCAAGGAUGUUUUCAUUAAUCAAGAACGAAAGUUAGGGGAUCGAAGACGAUCAGAUACCGUCGUAGUCUUAACCAUAAACUAUGCCGACUAGGGAUCGGAUGAUGUAAUUUUUAAUGACUCAUUCGGCGCCUUAAC